AACGAACGCUGGCGGCAGGCUUAACACAUGCAAGUCGAGCGCCCCGCAAGGGGAGCGGCAGACGGGUGAGUAACGCGUGGGAAUCUACCUUUUGCUACGGAAUAACGCAGGGAAACUUGUGCUAAUACCGUAUGUGUCCUUCGGGAGAAAGAUUUAUCGGCAAGAGAUGAGCCCGCGUUGGAUUAGCUAGUUGGUGGGGUAAAGGCCUACCAAGGCGACGAUCCAUAGCUGGUCUGAGAGGAUGAUCAGCCACAUUGGGACUGAGACACGGCCCAAACUCCUACGGGAGGCAGCAGUGGGGAAUAUUGGACAAUGGGCGCAAGCCUGAUCCAGCCAUGCCGCGUGAGUGAUGAAGGCCCUAGGGUUGUAAAGCUCUUUCACCGGAGAAGAUAAUGACGGUAUCCGGAGAAGAAGCCCCGGCUAACUUCGUGCCAGCCGCCGCGGUA
rnacentral:rRNA from 2 species